UAAUAUUUUACUCUAUUACUAGUAGUUCCAUUCCCCCCCUCCCCUCUCCUUUCCUCCUUCUCUCAGUAAGAAAUUAUUGGUUUGUGGUCUGAGUGAAUAAUUUCUGUUAUUUGUGUUUCCUUCUUUUUGUGUUGCUGUUAUCUUUGAUAUUGGCCUGAAAAUUUCUCUAUAGCUUUAAACAUUCUUAAUUUUCUAUGACAUGAUUCUUGCCUUGUGAAUCACUUUAAGGGUUCAAGUUUAUCAUUUUGGGUUAAUCGAUUAGUUUACAGUAAGUUUAUUUCAUGUUGAGAGAAGCUUGAAAGGGAUGUACUUUCCUUAGUGUCUUAUACGUACUUAUGGUAUGGCUACUCAGUUGAAAAGAGAGGAACAUGGAAUUUAUGGCUGUAAAAAUAGUCCCUGCAUCGUUUGUAUAAUCACUUGAAGCGGGGAUGAUUAUGUCUAAAGAUGAUAAUAUUGGAUUAAAAUUAUUAUAAAAAUAUCUCAAGGUGUUAUAUGCACACACACAAACAUAAAUAUCUUCAUGAUGCCAAGUCCCUUUAGGGCCAGAAAAUCCAAUUAAUUUUUGUUUCAGCCAGAGUUGAGAAUGGUGUUAAUUAUCUAUUAGAAUAAGUUGUGAUAAAGUUUAUGCAUUAUUAAGUCUGAGAAUUGGAUAGUUUUGUUGCUGUGAGACUUUAAUAUAUGACCUAUUGGAAUUUGCUUCAAAUAUUUUGUUCUUUCUUGCGAUAAUGAUCAGUCACAUUAAUGUGUAAAUAUUGUUUCAAUAUGCUGUUUAGGAAAAAGUCUUAUGUAGGG
rnacentral:misc_RNA from 1 species